GACGAACGCUGGCGGCGUGCUUAACACAUGCAAGUCGAACGGUGAAGCGCCUUCCUUUUUGGUGGGUGUGGAUGAGUGGCGAACGGGUGAGUAACACGUGAGUAACCUGCCCCCUUCUUCUGGAUAACCGCAUGAAAGUGUGGCUAAUACGGGAUAUUCUGGGUCUGUCGCAUGAUGGGUCUGGGAAAGAUAUUGUUUCGGUGGGGGAUGGGCUCGCGGCCUAUCAGCUUGUUGGUGGGGUGAUGGCCUACCAAGGCGGUGACGGGUAGCCGGCCUGAGAGGGUGGUCGGUCACACUGGGACUGAGACACGGCCCAGACUCCUACGGGAGGCAGCAGUGGGGAAUAUUGCACAAUGGGCGCAAGCCUGAUGCAGCGACGCCGCGUGAGGGAUGGAGGCCUUCGGGUUGUGAACCUCUUUCGCCAGUGAAGCAGGCCUGCCUCGUUUGUGGGUGGGUUGACGGUAGCUGGAUAAGAAGCGCCGGCUAACUACGUG
rnacentral:rRNA from 1 species